GCCUGUAUUUUCAGUUUUUUGUCGAACGUAAUAACUCUUCCAGGAUAUGACCUAAAUCCCUUCCCGGAUCUUUUCUCCAACAGGCUCGCUCUGGCUAGUCCUCUGGACAAGUCUCUUUGUCGACCACGCCGGCUUCCUCCUCCUCUUCCUUCGCGGGCGCCUGGUCCUCACUACCGGUUCCUUAUCACAUUUGCCGAUCUGAAGUGCAGUCGUCGUCCCGCCUCCGCCUCAGAUGUCGUCCCGCCUCCGACGCAGACGUCUCCCUACGCCGCCUCGUAAGGAUGCUUUGGAGCACCUGGCAUCAAUUGAUCUACUGGAAUUAUGCAAUGAGGCUAAAGUAGAGCGUUGCAGGGCCACUAGGGAUCUGAGUAGCUGUGGCCGCUACGUUCAAGAUGUACUGAACUCAUGUGGACAUGCCUCUUUGUGUGCUGAAUGUAGCAAGAGAUGUGACAUGUGUCCAAUUUGCAGAACUUCUCUCCCAGUCAAUGGAAAUAGAUUAAGACCUCGUCUUUAUUAUGAAUGUGCUAGUGCUGGCCUUAUUUCUAAGAAACAUGCAGACAGAUUUCAGGAGAAGGAUGAUAGCAAAGAUCAUUUUCUGGCUAUUCAACGCUUGUAUUCCCUCUUUGAUGUUGCACUAGAUAACAACCUUGCAUCUUUGAUUUGCCAUUAUGUUACAGAUGUCUGUAUGGAUGAGAAUGCUGUAUCUAGUGACCCUGUUAUUUCUUUCUUAUUGGAUGAAGUGGUUGUGAAGGACUGGUGCAAGCAAAGAUUCAAGGGCAUAAUUCAUGAUCUUCAGAUAACAUAUAGGCUUGAUUUGAAAGGAAUGAAGUCAAACUUGUGUUCAUUUCAAAAGUUAGCAUCACAAUUAAAUGGUGUAUCUAAUAUUCUUGAGGUCAUGGUUUCUUCAUUCAAGGACAAUCUCUCAGCUCAGUUGAAUGACUUGCACUUCCUUCUGAGCAGCACGCUGAAGACGAAACAGCAUUUGGAGAUCAUGAUUUGGUGCAUUCAGCAUGAUUUCCUUGAGAAUGUGCAGUCGUGCUAUCCUGACUAUCAAUCAUGGGCAUCACAUGCUCAGGAAAGGAAGUCAGCAGCUAUUAAGCAAUCCUGGCCUGAUAGUUCAAGUUAUUUGGCAUAUUAUGGUGAUCGAUCUGAGCCUGCAUUAUUUAUUGAGCAGGCAUUGUCCAAUCUUGAAAUAGAAGAAUGCUUCGGAGAUAAGCAUGAUGAAAUAGAUGUGUUUUGCUUGCAGGACACAAAUUCUCCCGUAAUGUUUUCAUCUAAAAUUAAUGAGUCUUACAGGAAUCAUGCAUCAGCGUGUUACCCUUUUAAACAAGCACGAGCUGCUGUGGAUGCUAUAUUUUUACACGGAGCUUCUGAUAUGGUGAUUGCAAAAAGAGCUAUAUUCUUAUAUUAUUUAUUUGACCGGCAUUGGACUUUACCAGAUGCAGAAUGGAGGUAUGUAGUUGAUGAUUUUGCCUCGUCAUUUGGUAUAGGCAGACUUCAACUACUGGAAUCUUUGAUGUUUUAUCUUCUCGAUGAUCACACGGAUCAGGCCUUGCAGGAAGCUUGCACUCUUCUUCCAGAAAUUGCUUGCCCAGACAUACAUCCUAAGGUGGCAGAAGUUUUAUUAGAACGGCGACGUCCUGAAGUUGCGCUUACUGUUUUAAGAUGUACGGGGCAUGAUGGCUUCAGCAGAUAUGAUAGUUCUGAGGAUGAUGGUGGGAAGAUUGUGUCACUUGAUGAAGCAGUGACUGUUCUUCGUGUAAGAAUUGAAUGUGGGCUCUUGACAGAAGCCUUUAUGUAUCAAAGAAUGUACUCCCAUAACCUGAAGGAAUUCAUAUCCAGACAUGGAGAUCUUUUAUCUUUCAACGCUCUAAAGCCUGACUCAUGGAUACACCAUAUGGAAAUACUGGUGAUUGAAAUGUGCUUGCUCUGUAUACGGAGGAACCUUAUUGAUAGGAUGAUUGAAUUGCCUUGGGAUUCUACGGAAGAAAAGUAUAUCCACAAAUGUCUCCUAGAACAAGCUUAUCAAAGUCCUCCAUCUAUCUGUGGCAGCCUUCUUAUGGUGUUCUAUCUUCAGCGAUGUAGAUACAUUGAAGCUUGUCAAGUACAUCGUGAGCUCCUAAAUUUGGAGCAGAACUGUUUAGAAAAUAUGGAUGGGGAUGUUGAAAGAGAAAUGAAAUCAGUAUCCCUUUGGAGAUCUUCUUUAGUAGACAAAUGUCUAGAUCUGCUUCCUGAGGUUCAACGUAAACGCAUAAUGACAGGAAAUGCCACUGAAUCUGGCCCAUCAUUUAACCAGGAUGAUCAAAUGGAAGUGGAGUCUACUUCUGAGUUGCUACUGGAUCCUGCUAAUGCUUCAACUCCAUGCAGGAAGUCACCAUCUCUUGUUCUUCACACUGAUCUGAAUAAUUUUCCUUCAAAAAAGGCUUCAGUAGAAGCACCCAUUAAGUUAUUUGGCAGUGUUAGCAAUACUUAUAUGGACAUUUCCAGAAGGGAGCCAUCUAUUCAACAGAGGCAUUUGACUUCCUUUGGUAGUCCUCAAAAUGGUUCUCAGGUUAAGUCCUUGAAUGAGCUGAAUACAAGUCCAUUCCACGUGUCUUUGUUUGGCCAGUAUUUUAAUGGAAAUAAUGGUCCCCAUUCAAUGAAGUCUUAUGAUUCUGUAAGACGCAGUGAUAAUUCCAUUGUGCUUGAAACAAGAUUAACUUCUCAGGAUUACACGGAUCUUGUUAAUGUUUCUAAUGACCACAGUUCUCUCAUAAAUGCAAUUCAUGAAGAGCCCCAGAGAAGAUCAGGAAAGCAGAACCACGUAGAUGGUCCCUGGAGCAUGUUCAACCCUACGGAAUCAACUCAAGUUUGGAGCGUUGAAAAAAGGGAUUCUCCAAAUGAACAGUUGAUCAUGAAAGUGGGCUCAAAGUGGAGAUCUGAUGAAUCCAGCGAAGAUGAAGCAAACCAGAUUUAUAAACAUCCUGGUGGUGGGUCUUCGUUUCCCUUGAGAGGAAGAACAAGGCGCUUCAGGAGAUAAUAUUUUGUGAAAUACAAGCACCACUGAAUUAUUUUGCAUCUUGGAUUGUGAUCCUCGUGUACCCUCGCUACCAGAUUUAGGUUUGUUAUAUCUGAAGAUUGGAGGAAAAUGAAUGAGAUGAUGUCUGAUGAUCGGAGUUUUCAGGAUUUUGUUGCGCAGAUUGUAGUGCAUCUGUUUAAAAAAUUAAAAUGCUUUGACGUUUAGGGUUGUUGUAUAUGCUGGUGCUAAAAAUAAUCCAUCUGAUUUCUGCAGAUGUAUAAGUUUUUGAGCAUUAUAUGUUGAUAAUGCAAAUCCAGAAGCAGAUCAUAGAUAACGGAAACGGUAUGUAAAAUUUCCAAUAUUUUUUAGGAUAGCAGAUGGAUAGAGCAUUCGUACACCGCAGCAAAUGAAAUUCGGAGAUUUUGGCUUUU